rnacentral:rRNA from 1 species
CCUACGGGGGGCAGCAGUGGGGAAUAUUGGACAAUGGGGGGAACCCUGAUCCAGCCAUGCCGCGUGUGUGAAGAAGGCCCUCGGGUUGUAAAGCACUUUCAGUGAGGAAGAACGCCUGGUGGUUAAUACCCAUCAGGAAAGACAUCACUCACAGAAGAAGCACCGGCUAACUCCGUGCCAGCAGCCGCGGUAAUACGGAGGGUGCGAGCGUUAACCGGAAUUACUGGGCGUAAAGCGCGCGUAGGUGGCUUGAUAAGCCGGUUGUGAAAGCCCCGGGCUCAACCUGGGAACGGCAUCCGGAACUGUCAAGCUAGAGUGCAGGAGAGGAAGGUAGAAUUCCCGGUGUAGCGGUGAAAUGCGUAGAGAUCGGGAGGAAUACCAGUGGCGAAGGCGGCCUUCUGGACUGACACUGACACUGAGGUGCGAAAGCGUGGGUAGCAAACAGGAUUAGAUACCCUAGUAGUC